rnacentral:rRNA from 1 species
UACGAAGGGGACUAGCGUUGUUCGGAAUUACUGGGCGUAAAGCGCACGUAGGCGGAUUUGUAAGUCAGGGGUGAAAUCCCGGGGCUCAACCUCGGAACUGCCUUUGAUACUGCAAAUCUCGAGUCCGAUAGAGGUGGGUGGAAUUCCUAGUGUAGAGGUGAAAUUCGUAGAUAUUAGGAAGAACACCUAUGGCGAAGGCAGCUCUCUGGGACGGUACUGACGCUGAGACGCGAAAGCGUGGGGAGUGAACAGG